rnacentral:lncRNA from 1 species
CUUUUAUGCAAAUAAGAUGUUGGCCAGGACACCCCCACCCAUCCUAUGUUUACGCUGAGCGAUUAUCACAUGUGAAAAUAACAGAAAACAGAGGCGCUGUCCAACCCUAUAAGGGGGGAAUAAGUAAAAAUUUAGCAGAAGAAGAAGAUGGCAGAAGUAGUACUCAUGCUAUUGGUGCGCACCCUUUAAAAAUCAGCAGUCAGUUACUCAGAUGGGGUGGAAGAGAAAAGCCUCCAGUGUUAAAGAUCUCGGUGUCUGCGCUCCUGUGGACGGCAGCAGCAGAGCGCGAUCAGUUUUCAGUGGCCAGCGCUGUGGGGCCGCCGGGACAAGGCCUGCACUCUAAUGGGAGCUGA